rnacentral:rRNA from 2 species
CUCUGACAACUCUAGAGAUAGAGCGUUCCCCUUCGGGGGACAGAGUGACAGGUGGUGCAUGGUUGUCGUCAGCUCGUGUCGUGAGAUGUUGGGUUAAGUCCCGCAACGAGCGCAACCCUUGAUUUUAGUUGCCAGCAUUUAGUUGGGCACUCUAAGGUGACUGCCGGUGACAAACCGGAGGAAGGUGGGGAUGACGUCAAAUCAUCAUGCCCCUUAUGACCUGGGCUACACACGUGCUACAAUGGAUGGUACAAAGGGCUGCAAGACCGCGAGGUCAAGCCAAUCCCAUAAAACCAUUCUCAGUUCGGAUUGUAGGCUGCAACUCGCCUACAUGAAGCUGGAAUCGCUAGUAAUCGCGGAUCAGCAUGCCGCGGUGAAUACGUUCCCGGGCCUUGUACACACCGCCCGUCACACCACGAGAGUUUGUAACACCCGAAGUCGGUGGAGUAACCGUAAGGAGCUAGCCGCCUAAGGUGGGAC